rfam:Macaca mulatta chromosome 15, whole genome shotgun sequence.
AGGCCCCUCCUUCUCAGCCCCAGCUCCCGCUCACCCCUGCCACGUCAAAGGAGGCAGAAGGGGAGUUGGGAGCAGAGAGGGGACCA